CCUAAACUCUCCUUGGCAGAUGCUGCUGAACGUCUUCCCACCUACCUCAGCUCACCUGAAUCACGAGCAGCUGCAUUAGACAGUUGACACCUUCCAUCUCAAGAAUCUGGCUCUCUCUGCUUUUUUCCUUGAGGGAGUUCAAAGGAACUUGCAAAACUUCACGUGAAGAGUGUGCUCUCAGCCCUCCACCAAACAGAGGAAAGGAGUGCUGGACAUUUCCCCUCCUGCAGAUUGAACCGAGUCCCCCUUCAUGUUGAAGGUCUAACCACCCCCCAUCCCAAAGUGAAGAAACCAGGCUGAAUGGAGUCCUAAGGCUGAAAUCCUGGCAGACUCGACCUCCUUAAGGGCAACGAGAGCUCGUUCUCCUCUCUGUAUCCUUCACACAAGGACAAGGAGGAAGCAGCUGGCUGUAAGCCAGUUCCCUGCUGCAUCUUACAAGAGGCGGAUCCUUUUUAAUCCAGGAGCACAGGAAGACACCGUUGAUAUCCUCCCCAUCCCAGUGCUGGUGCUGUCUCGGAAUUACCAGGGCUGUUUGCAGCGAGGCAAAAAGAAGUGGUGAAGGGCUGAAAAGAAUCACCAGCGAGGUGCAUGGACCUUUCAGGGGGAGGUGGCAAGGGGAAGAUCUUGGGCAUCGUGAGUGAGUACAGUCACAGACAACUGCGAAUCAGCUGGGUCUACUGGUCUGACCUGUGUCCCUCCUCAGUCAGUCAGCGGUGCUGGGUACCCUGGACUGCACUGAAUAGAGUGUUUAUUAAAUGUGUCUUGUGAGAGGGCAAAGUCAUGGGUAUCAUUAAAGGGGAAUCCCUGUAAGAGCAAACCGCCAAAAUAAAUCCACUUCUUGUAGCAUAAAUUAUGAACUAACCAUCCUUCAAAGAGU